GCUGAAAACAUGCGAAGGAACAUAUCACAGGGCUUCCUGUCCAUGGAGUUUGGUGGUUCCUGUCUGUCUGUCUGUCUGUCUGUCUGUCUGUCUGUCUGUCUGUCUGUCUGUGUCUCUGUGUUUCUCUCUGUCUCAGUAUCUCUUUCUCCUUUUCCCUAAUUGGUCCCACAAGAGCUCUGCAAGAGAUUCACUCCAUGUGUGUGCGAAUGAAGAUCAAGAAGAGAGUAAAACAUUCCUUUGCUCUAGUGGGCACCUCACAUUGGAGUUUCUUGUUGAGGUCUAUAAGACCCUUCCAGUAGUACCAAACACAAUGGAGACCUUCCAGAAGUACCAAACCCAACAGAGACCUCCUAGGAGUACCAAACCCAAUGAAGACCAGCUCUCAAUGCUCUCUACACCUAGGAGUUAUCCCGGCC
rnacentral:lncRNA from 1 species